rnacentral:misc_RNA from 1 species
AAAAAUCAGAAUGGAUCGUCUUGAGUGGAGUGACACAAAUCUUGUUCCUGGAGAGGAACAAGUAAAUUUACAACCAGGAAUUGCAGUAUAUGACGGACAAGAUAAGACCUGCUUUGAAAAUGGAGUACUAACACUUACCACUCACAGAGUGAUAUGGAAAGAUAAUAGAGACAGGACAAGAGUUUUAACCUUGCAACAUAGUUUAGUUGUGUAUAUUGAAGAGCAGCCAUCAGGGUUUGCCAAAAGUGCAAAGAUUGCAGUACAUGUGUCAGCCCCUGGACCCAAUAAGAAGCCUGGGCCAGUGACCCAGAGUCGCUAUGACUACAUCCGAUUUUCCUUCAGAGAAGCAGGGGAAGGACAGUUUUUCAGAGAUUAUAACGAACAACUACAACAGAAAAAAUGGGAGCAUGUUAUACCUCAAAGGAAACCAGGUGUAAGGGUUGUAAUUUUUAAAAAAAUGUUUUCAAAUUUCAAACACGUAUCUGAAAUCUCUGAACAGGUUUAUGGUUAUUUUAUUUUGUACCUAUACUUGUAUAUAUAAAACUUUUGCAAGUGAGAUUUUUUUUAAAGGCAUCCCGACAUAGAGCUGGUAUUAUGGGCAUUGAACGAACCAUUCAACAAACACACGCUAACACAGACAAAAACAUUUCUCAAGCGUUUCAAGAUCUAACAAAACUGAUGGAAAAGGCCAAAGAAAUGGUAGCAAUUUCCAAAUCUAUAGCAACGAAGAUCAAAGAUAAGCAAGGAGAUGUUACAGAUGAUGAGACAAUAAAAUUCAAGUCCUACUUGCUGAGUAUGGGUAUUCCUAACCCGGUCACCAGGGACACACAUGGGUCAGGAGACAAGUACUACACAGAGCUGGCCCGGCAGCUGUCCAAUGUCCUAGAAAAACCCCUCAAGGAAUGUGGUGGUAUAAUGACACUAACUGAUGUGUACUGUCGAGUUAACAGGGCACGGGGAAUGGAGUUAUUAUCUCCAGAGGAUUUACUGAAUGCAUGUGAAAUGUUUGAACUUCUACGACUCCCUGUCAGACUGAAGACAUUUGACAGUGGUGUGAUGGUGUUACAGCUGCAGAGUCACGAUGAAGACCAAGUCAUCCACCUCACCACUCAACUGGUGGAAGACAAGGGUUCCAUAACUGCUGAAGACUUGUCCAAAGAAGUGGGCGUGUCUGUAAUUUUGGCAAAAGAAAGGUUACUUCUGACAGAGAAGGUCGGAGGGGUCUGCAGAGACGAGUGUGUAGAAGGACUGAGAUUUUAUCCCAAUCUGUUCUUGACCAAAGUCACCUGUAUAACAUAAACAAUUUUGUUUAUUAUUUUGUUAAAUUUACCAUUGAUUUUAUUUGUAAAAUAUUUAAUGCGCCUGUAUAUACAAUUUAAAAAAAAACAAGUAUUAAAAAUUUAUAGUGCUUAAU